rnacentral:lncRNA from 1 species
GCGAUUUUCAUACCUGCAUACUCUGAUCACUACUCUGUUAAACAGUCAAGGAGGCUGAGUGCCACGUGCUGACGUCACUAAGAUCAAUACAGCAAACUCUGAAAGAUGGACAGAGAGACAGGAGAUGGUCCUUUAUAAUGCAGUGUGAUCUGUGCUGCAAUAGAGAAAACGGUGGUGGUUUCAAGGGUAUAUUCUGUUUCUAGGUCUGCUGUCACAAAAUACCAGAAACUGGGUGUCUUGUUAAAACAACAGACAUUUUUUCUCUCACAGUUUUGGAAGCUAGAAGUUCAAAACGAGGUGUUGGCAGCACCAUGCUCUCUCUGAAGAUGCUAGGAAGAAUCUGCUCCAUGCCUUUCCAUUCGCUCCUGGGGUUUCCUGCAAGCCCUGACAUUCCUUGGCUUGUAGAUACACCACCCCAGUUUCCGCCCCCAUCAUCACAUGGCCUCCUCUCUGUGGGUGCCUCUGCGUUCCCUCUAUUCUUCUUCUAAGGACACCGACACCAGUCAUAGUGGAUUAAGGGUCCACUCCUAACUAAUUACAUCUGCAACCACCCUAUUUCCAAAUAAAGUCACAUUCUAAGAUUCCUAGGGAGAACAUGAAGUUUUGGGGGUGUGUGGAUACUGUUCAACCUGGGACAUGGAGUAAAUAAAUGGCAAGAAAGAUUACAGAUGACUUUAAGCUAAAGAGGGAGAUAGGGUUAAAUGUAGGACUUUUUUUUUUUUCCAGGACGGGAG